UAAGUAGACGUGAAUCAUUGUA
rnacentral:miRNA from 1 species